UCUCUGGAGGCCCUUUCUGGCUCCCUCCUUGCCCUCACUCUUGGUGGGGGAGGGGGGUGGGCGUACUGAGGCAGGGUCCAGGGCUCAUCCAGCCCACUCCUGGAAACUCAGUGCUGUCCUUCAGGCUGUGUGGGUCAGGGAUAGGAAGGCAGGAUGCCAGUGAUAGAUGGAGUAUCCCAGUUACUCUCCAUAGUAACCCUGUGAGGUUGGUAAUGAGGCCCCCAUUGGACAGAGGAAGAAACCGAGGCCCAGGGAUUACACAGCCAGUAGAGAGAGGACAGAGCAUGGAGCUCCUGGAGAGGCAGUGGAUAAUUCUUCCCGACAGAGGAGCUGACUGUUGAACCCCUUCUUUGAAGGAGAGUCCGUGCUGCCAAAUCGAAGAAGAGAAACGCCCUGGCUGGAAAGCAGAGAGAACAGCAGGUCAGAAAGUCUGCUCAGCAGUAGCUGUGGAUGUCGCAGGUUCGGCUCAGAAACUCCAGUGUCCCUCAGCGUCUCGCCGGCACCCUCUGCCGGCGUGAGGUGGCGCUGCCUGGCCGCAUCCUGGGGGAGCGUCCACAUCCUCGGUCGACAAAAGGAGCGUCGACACUCUCGGACCUGGGAAAGUGACGGCCCAAACGCCAGGGAGGAGCCAGGACCUCGCCCUGAGCUAGCGGGAGGUAACGGCGGGGAGUCCUGGGGCGGAGACCGAGCGCUGGGGGCGUGGU